rnacentral:tRNA from 1 species
CGGCACGUAGCGCAGCCUGGUAGCGCACCGCCAUGGGGUGUCGGGGGUCGGAGGUUCAAAUCCUCUCGUGCCGACCA